CGGUUUAUUAUUCAUUAUCGGUCGCUGUAGAAACAACAUCAAGCGAUUGAUGAAAAGGAAGAUUAUCAUUUGAUUCCCGGAUUCAAUUCGCUCGAAUCCGACGGAAAAUCGCAGGAAAAACUCCACCGGACAGAGCCUUGGAUCAACUGAUGCUAUCAAGCAAUGCUAAGCAAUAUUUCACCAGGUAUAUUAUCAUUUGAUUUGAUGCGAAAAUAAAAUAGAGUUUAAUGAAA